rnacentral:rRNA from 1 species
AACGAACGCUGGCGGCAGGCUUAACACAUGCAAGUCGAACGCAUCCUUCGGGAUGAGUGGCAGACGGGUGAGUAACGCGUGGGAAUUUACCCAGCUCUACGGAACAACUCAGGGAAACUUGAGCUAAUACCGUAUACGCCCUUUGGGGGAAAGAUUUAUCGGAGUUGGAUGAGCCCGCGUUUGAUUAGCUAGUUGGUGGGUAAAGGCCUACCAAGGCGACGAUCAAUAGCUGGUCUGAGAGGAUGAUCAGCCACACUGGGACUGAGACACGGCCCAGACUCCUACGGGAGGCAGCAGUGGGGAAUAUUGGACAAUGGGCGCAAGCCUGAUCCAGCCAUGCCGCGUGAGUGAUGAAGGCCCUAGGGUUGUAAAGCUCUUUCAACGGUGAAGAUAAUGACGGUAACCGUAGAAGAAGCCCCGGCUAACUUCGUG